UCGGUGGACAGGUGGUGCAUGGUUGUCGUCAGCUCGUGUCGUGAGAUGUUGGGUUAAGUCCCGCAACGAGCGCAACCCCUAUUGUUAGUUGCCAUCAUUCAGUUGGGCACUCUAGCGAGACUGCCGGUAAUAAACCGGAGGAAGGUGGGGAUGACGUCAAAUCAUCAUGCCCCUUAUGACCUGGGCUACACACGUGCUACAAUGGUUGGUACAACGAGUUGCGAGUCGGUGACGGCGAGCUAAUCUCUUAAAGCCAAUCUCAGUUCGGAUUGUAGGCUGCAACUCGCCUACAUGAAGUCGGAAUCGCUAGUAAUCGCGGAUCAGCACGCCGCGGUCGAAUACGUUCCCGGGCCUU
rnacentral:rRNA from 1 species